rnacentral:rRNA from 1 species
GAGCGAAUGGAUUGAGAGCUUGCUCUCAAGAAGUUAGCGGCGGACGGGUGAGUAACACGUGGGUAACCUGCCCAUAAGACUGGGAUAACUCCGGGAAACCGGGGCUAAUACCGGAUAACAUUUUGAACUGCAUGGUUCGAAAUUGAAAGGCGGCUUCGGCUGUCACUUAUGGAUGGACCCGCGUCGCAUUAGCUAGUUGGUGAGGUAACGGCUCACCAAGGCAACGAUGCGUAGCCGACCUGAGAGGGUGAUCGGCCACACUGGGACUGAGACACGGCCCAGACUCCUACGGGAGGCAGCAGUAGGGAAUCUUCCGCAAUGGACGAAAGUCUGACGGAGCAACGCCGCGUGAGUGAUGAAGGCUUUCGGGUCGUAAAACUCUGUUGUUAGGGAAGAACAAGUGCUAGUUGAAUAAGCUGGCACCUUGACGGUACCUAACCAGAAAGCCACGGCUAACUACGUGCCAGCAGCCGCGGUAAUACGUAGGUGGCAAGCGUUAUCCGGAAUUAUUGGGCGUAAAGCGCGCGCAGGUGGUUUCUUAAGUCUGAUGUGAAAGCCCACGGCUCAACCGUGGAGGGUCAUUGGAAACUGGGAGACUUGAGUGCAGAAGAGGAAAGUGGAAUUCCAUGUGUAGCGGUGAAAUGCGUAGAGAUAUGGAGGAACACCAGUGGCGAAGGCGACUUUCUGGUCUGUAACUGACACUGAGGCGCGAAAGCG